GAUGAACGCUGGCGGCGUGCCUAAUACAUGCAAGUCGAGCGAACGGACGAGAAGCUUGCUUCUCUGAUGUUAGCGGCGGACGGGUGAGUAACACGUGGAUAACCUACCUAUAAGACUGGGAUAACUUCGGGAAACCGGAGCUAAUACCGGAUAAUAUUUUGAACCGCAUGGCUCAAAAGUGAAAGACGGUCUUGCUGUCACUUAUAGAUGGAUCCGCGCUGCAUUAGCUAGUUGGUAAGGUAACGGCUUACCAAGGCAACGAUGCGUAGCCGACCUGAGAGGGUGAUCGGCCACACUGGAACUGAGACACGGUCCAGACUCCUACGGGAGGCAGCAGUAGGGAAUCUUCCGCAAAGGGCGAAAGCCUGACGGAGCAACGCCGCGUGAGUGAUGAAGGUCUUCGGAUCGUAAAACUCUGUUAUUAGGGAAGAACAUAUGUGUAAGUAACUGUGCACAUCUUGACGGUACCUAAUCAGAAAGCCACGGCUAACUACGUG
rnacentral:rRNA from 1 species